rnacentral:rRNA from 1 species
AGGGAAUCUUCCGCAAUGGGCGAAAGCCUGACGGAGCAACGCCGCGCGAGUGAUGAAGGUCUUCGGAUCGUAAAACUCUGUUAUUAGGGAAGAACAUAUGUGUAAGUAACUGUGCACAUCUUGACGGUACCUAAUCAGAAAGCCACGGCUAACUACGUGCCAGCAGCCGCGGUAAUACGUAGGUGGCAAGCGUUAUCCGGAAUUAUUGGGCGUAAAGCGCGCGUAGGCGGUUUUUUAAGUCUGAUGUGAAAGCCCACGGCUCAACCGUGGAGGGUCAUUGGAAACUGGAAAACUUGAGUGCAGAAGAGGAAAGUGGAAUUCCAUGUGUAGCGGUGAAAUGCGCAGAGAUAUGGAGGAACACCAGUGGCGAAGGCGACUUUCUGGUCUGUAACUGACGCUGAUGUGCGAAAGCGUGGGGAUCAAACAGGAUUAGAUACCCUGGUAGUCCACGCCGUAAACGAUGAGUGCUAAGUGUUAGGGGGUUUCCGCCCCUUAGUGCUGCAGCUAACGCAUUAAGCACUCCGCCUGGGGAGUACGACCGCAAGGUUG